UACAGCAGCAAUACAUACACCCACCCGUCCUCGUCUUCCUCAGUCCAGCGAAUGAAACCCAGAAAUCGUAGCCCGCGUCCCUCUCUUCUUUCCCUUAUUCUUUCCGUACAAGAACAUUCUUGAAUUGUUCAGGUGGAGCCAUCUCCAUGCCCGUUAUCCGUUGAGAAUUGGUACUAUUACAAGCCGUUUGAACCUUAUCCUCCAAGAAUUCGAAAUUCGAAUUUGAAUUAAUUCUAAAGCUCAUCCGAUUUCCCCCCAAAAAUCUUCCCUAAAUCCCCUCUAUUUAAACCCCCUUUUACCUUCAAUUUUGGGGGUGAAAAAAGAUACAAGAAAAAACUGAAAUUCACCAAGCAUAGACAAGCAAAUAUUGAAAUAGAAGUUUGAACGAUAGUGUUUAUAUCAGUGAGAUUUCUGGGUCCUCUGUUUGGAAUUCGAGUUUUCGUCGUUGGUGGUUGAUUAGCUCAUCACCCAAGCUCGUCGUUGUUCCAGUGUUGCUGCCCGGAGAAAGGGCCAGAGCAGAUCGCAACUUAGAAAAGUCCAAGAGAACAGACUGUAUACACUAAAGUAUACACCAUAUACAAGCGUUGGAGGUGAAAACAGGUUGAUAUACAGCCCUUAUACAAUCAGUAUAUACUGAUAUACAGGUCAAAAUACAGAAAGUACUGGGCGAAAACGACAUACAGAUGUUCGAGAGCUGAUUUAGGCGGUAUACAUUUGGGAUACAGUUCAAUAUACAGGAAAAGACCCAAUAAUACAGCCUGCAUACCGAGUAUACAGGCUAAAGCCCAUCCUUUUGCACAACAGGUAGGUCCAAGCAACAACAAUGGGUCAAACGGCCCAAAGAAUAUCCAGCAGUUGAUUAUGAUGGGUCAAAGCCCAUUAUUUUGACUUAUUAUUAGACUUAGGACAGGUUGGGCCAAAGCCCAAAUCUGACAUUGCUCUCCUCUUUUAUUAUUAUUUUGUUUAUUGUAUUAACUCUAUAUUUUUAUCUGAUUUGGUUUAAUCUAAGUAAAUUUUCAAAAGAUA